GUGAGAUCUGUAUGGUCACUGGUCAAAUAAAUUCUUAUGUGGACCCCAGGGUACAGGAUACAGAAACAAAUGAACAAAACAUAAACCUGUAGAAAUGUUUAUGGUUAUUCUGUCCCCUUCAGCGCCCUGUGUCCCAGACAAUGUGACAGUGGUACCUUCAUGUGAGGAUAGAGGAGCCACAGUGACGUGGCGACACUCCCCUGUGGCUACAUCCUAUCUACUGAUGGCCACAGGAAUGGAUGGACAUGUGGCGAGCUGCAACACCUUGGUGAACAACUGCACCCUGACUGAUCUGCACUGUGGACAGCACUACAAUCUAACUAUCACCGCCACUGGAGAGAAUUGCACCAGCCCGCCCAGCAUCUCAUCCUUCAGAACAGUGCCCUGUGAGCCCACCGGUGUCGCAGUGGUCAUUAAUUGUGAGACCGAGUCUGCCAUGCUGUCUUGGAAUGCCGUUGAUGGCGCCGUGGAGUACUUUGGCUCCGCCCAAUCUAUGGAUGGAGACGCGCUCUACUGUAACAGCACUGACACCUUCUGCACCAUCGAAGGCCUGGAAUGUGGUGACAUUUACAAUUUCUCCGUUGAAGCCUCUAACGGCGUCUGCAACAGCUCGUUCAGUGCACCUCUGCAGGCGGGAGCAGCUCCAUGCCCUCCGACUGCUCUGAACGUCAGAAUGCAGAAGAUAGACCAAAAUCACUGGGCCAUGAUAACAUGGGACAGCGUCAAUUGUUCUGAUGUUCAGUACCUUGUAGAGAUAACCGGUCACAUCCAAAACAACCCACAGACCAUGAUGGAGUUCUCUUCCUACUGGUGGCCCAGGAGAUACUUUGAGUUCCCAAUGCCUUGCAGCACAGCUUAUAACCUUACUGUGCGCGCCAGAAACUCAGCUGGGAUCAGCGAGCCGUCCAGUGUCUUUACUGGAGUCACAGUCCCCUGUGCUCCACAGAAUGUGAAAUACACUGGUAACAGAGCAUCUGCUGUGCUUUCCUGGGAUGCAUCUGUGUUUGCCAUGACGUACACUGUCUACAAUGGGUCGGGGGCAGGCCGUGUUGAGCUUUGCAGCACCACUGGGCUCUCCUGCCAGCUGACUAACUUCGAUCCUGGUGCCACUGAAGUGACAGCCAGCAAUNNNNNNNNNNNNNNNNNNNNNNNNNNNNNNNNNNNNNNNNNNNNNNNNNNNNNNNNNNNNCAGCAAAGCAG
rnacentral:lncRNA from 15 species